rnacentral:rRNA from 1 species
UACAGAGGGUGCGAGCGUUGUCCGGAAUCACUGGGCGUAAAGCGCACGUAGGCGGACUCUUAAGUCGGUGGUGAAAUCCUGGAGCUCAACUCCAGAACUGCCUUCGAUACUGGGAGUCUCGAGUCCGGGAGAGGUGAGUGGAACUGCGAGUGUAGAGGUGAAAUUCGUAGAUAUUCGCAAGAACACCAGUGGCGAAGGCGGCUCACUGGCCCGAUACUGACGCUGAGGCACGAAAGCGUGGGGAGCAAACAGG